rnacentral:rRNA from 1 species
GACGAACGCUGGCGGCGUGCUUAACACAUGCAAGUCGAGCGGAGCGGCGAACGGGGGAGUAACGCGUGAGUAACUGCCCCCCUCUCUGGGAUAACAGUUGGAAACGGCUGCUAAUACCGGAUAGUGGGGGAUGACUCGCGUCCUAUCAGCUGUUUGGUGGGGGAGGGGACUACCAAGGCGACGACGGGUAGCCGGCCUGGGAGGGCGACCGGCCACAUUGGGCUGGGGUACGGCCCAGACGCCUACGGGAGGCAGCGGUGGGGAAUAUUGCACAAUGGGGGAAACCCUGUUGCAGCAACGCCGCGUGCGGGAUGACGGCCUUCGGGUUGUAAACCGCUUUGCGCCAUGCCGCGGUAGUGGCAGAAGAAGCACCGGCUAACUACGUGCCAGCAGCCGCGGUAAUAC